UACAGAGGGUGCGAGCGUUAAUCGGAAUUACUGGGCGUAAAGCGCGCGUAGGCGGCUUGCAAGUCGAUUGUGAAAUCCCCGGGCUUAACCUGGGAACUACAUUGGUGACUGCAUUGCUGGAGUAUGGCAGAGGGGGUGGAAUCACGUGUAGCAGUGAAAUGCGUAGAGAUGUGGAGGAACACCGAUGGCGAAGGCAGCCCCCUGGGCCAAUACUGACGCUCAUGCACGAAAGCGUGGGGAGCAAACAGG
rnacentral:rRNA from 1 species